GAACUAGGGGGUUUCGGAAAUAAGCUGCUAACUUAAUUUUUAAGUGGUUAAACUCCAUUUAUAGUUUU
rnacentral:tRNA from 1 species